UGUGUAGACGGAACAUUAAGUUCGUUGUUAAAUCUUUCGGCUUAACCGAAAGCUUGCGAUGAAAACUAAUGAUCUUGAGGGUGAAAGAGAGAAGUGGAAUUCUCGGAGUAGACGGUAAAAUGCGUAGAUCUCGAGAGGAACACCGAUGGCGAAGGCAGCUUCUUGGUUCACUCCUGACGUUGAGACACGAAAGCGUGGGUAGCAAACA
rnacentral:rRNA from 1 species